AAUUAGUACCAAAUUAUUAAUAGAAGUUCUUUAAAUUUAAAGAAUUUGGCGGUAAUUUAUCCUUUCAGAGGGACCUGUCCUAUAAUUGAUAAUCCACAAUAUAUUUUACUAAAUUUUAGCUUAUAUAUCUCUGUCAUUGAAUGUUCUUGGAAGAGGUUUUCUGAGGGUUAAUUUUAAUCAAAAUGUUAGGUCAAGGUUUAGCAAUAUUUUAGUAGUGAUGGGUCACAUUUUUAAUAUAAUAGGAAAUUAAAUGAAAAUUAUUUUAAAUACGGAUUUGAUAGUAAAUCCCAUUAUUUUAUGGGGUUGAUAGUGCUCUAGAUUAUGUACACAUCGCCCGUCGCUCUU
rnacentral:rRNA from 1 species